CCCUCUGUUGCCCAGGGUGGCGUGCAAAGGUACCAUCUCCGCUCACUGCAACCUCUGCCUUCUGGGUUCAGGCAAUUCUCUUGCCUCAGGCUCCCGAGUAGCUAGGAUUACAGGUGCCUGCUACCACGCCGGGCUAAUUUUUGUAUUUUUAGUAGAGAUGGGGUUUCACCAUGUUGGCCAGGCUGGCCUUGAACUCCUGACCUCAGGUGAUCCUUCUGCCUUGGCCUCCCAAAGUGCUGGAAUUAUGGGCAUGAGCCACCGUGCUCGGCCCCCUUGCAGCAGUUGUCUCUCCACAGUGAGACACGGGACUACAUUGUGAGUCCCUCCUUCCCCCCAAAGAAGAUAAACACACUUUGCAGACUCCCCUGCAGACACAUGACCUAGCUUCCACCGAUCAGACGCACAAGACUUGGAAGCAAGUAAACGUGGGCAAGGUGAGCUAGCUGGGCGUGGAGGAGCAUGAUCUCCUGGCAAGCAGGAGUCAGCUGGCAUGGUUUUGCUUCAAGUUGUGGGUGCAGAUCAUUUGGGGAGCAGCAGAGACCUGGGGAUGCUCUUGCCUGGUGGGCAGCACAAGCACGAGAGGUGCACCACACAGGGCCCACAGUUCCUAACCACUGAACUAUCCUGGAGGACAUGCCAUCCUCAUCAUGUGGCUUCUCCUCAUUGAGUAAGACAGCUGCUUGAGCUCCGGCCUAACACCUCACUCCAGUUUUCAGGGAAAAGGCAAGGGACAACACAGGACUCACCCAUUCCUUUAAGGAUCCUUGCUGAAUCUUUCACAGGGAGCUCCUGCUUGCCUUUGAUUGGCAUUUAGUCACACAGCAACACCUCUGCCAAGAAAAUGUAUUUAUUCCAGUGAUUAUGAGCUCAAUGAAAAAAUCAGCUCUACUGUUACAGGGGAGAAUGGAGACAGAACUUUCAGCAUCAUUGCUGCAUUUCACGGAUGAAGAAACUAAGGCUCAGAGGGGUGCACGACCUGCCGGAGGUCACGCAGCCAGGAAGAAGUGGAGCCUGGAUCUUCUGUCCCUGGGCUUUUAGGAGCCAGUGGGGCCCCAAAGGCACACACUGCUGAUUUCCUGGGGGUGAGGAGGACUGGGCUUCGGUGCACAACCCCCUCCCCUGCCCCAGGAACACCCGGGGCCCAGACCCUGCCAGCCACAGCCCCCUGUGCCUUCCAGCCCUGGCAGCCUCUCUGGGCCCAGAUCCGUCACACUGGCACCCAUCCUGCCCCGGGCCUAGCCUGACUCCAUCCAGUCUGCUCACACCAGCAUCGACUGUGCUUGGGCAGGUUACUGAAGCAGCCUCAAGA